AAAAUCCGCUGUAACAAUCCUGAGGCGUGAUGGGGAAGGUCAUAUAGGCCGAAGUACAUGAUUCCAUGCUUCCAAGAAAAGCAUCUAGAGAGAGAAGUAGUGCCCGUACCGCAAACCGACACAGGUAGAUGAGGAGAGAAUCCUAAGGCCGGCGGAAGAAUUGCAGUUAAGGAACUAGGCAAAUUGACCCCGUAAGUUCGCGAGAAGGGGUGCCUGCGAGAGCAGGCCGCAGAGAAUAGGCCCAAGCAACUGUUUAGCAAAAACACAGGUCUCUGCUAAAGCGUAAGCUGAUGUAUAGGGGCUGACGCCUGCCCGGUGCUGGAAGGUUAAGGGGAACACUUAGCGCAAGCGAAGGUGUGAACUUAAGCCCCAGUAAACGGCGGCCGUAACAAUAACGGUCCUAAGGUAGCGAAAUUCCUUGUCAGGUAAGUUCUGACCCGCACGAAUGGCGUAAUGACUUGGGCACUGUCUCAACUGCAAAUCCGGCGAAGUUGUAGUGCGAGUGAAGAUGCUCGCUACCCGCGAUUGGACGGAAAGACCCCGUAGAGCUUUACUGUAGCUUAGCAUUGAAUUCCGGUAUUGUCUGUACAGGAUAGGUGGGAGACUGGGAAACUAGGGCGUCAGCCUUAGUGGAGUCAACCUUGGGAUACCACCCUGACAGUACUGGGGUUCUAACAGGACGCCAUGAAUCUGGUGACUGGACAUUGUUAGGUGGGCAGUUUGACUGGGGCGGUCGCCUCCUAAAAAGUAACGGAGGCGCCCAAAGGUUCCCUCAGAACGGUCGGAAAUCGUUCGUAGAGUGCAAAGGCAGAAGGGAGCCUGACUGCGAGACAUACAAGUCGAGCAGGGACGAAAGUCGGGCUUAGUGAUCCGGUGGUACCUCGUGGGAGGGCCAUCGCUCAACGGAUAAAAGCUACCUCGGGGAUAACAGGCUGAUCUCCCCCAAGAGUCCACAUCGACGGGGAGGUUUGGCACCUCGAUGUCGGCUCGUCGCAUCCUGGGGCUGUAGUAGGUCCCAAGGGUUGGGCUGUUCGCCCAUUAAAGCGGCACGCGAGCUGGGUUCAGAACGUCGUGAGACAGUUCGGUCCCUAUCCGUCGCGGGCGUAGGAAAUUUGAGAGGAGCUGUCCUUAGUACGAGAGGACCGGGAUGGACUGACCUCUGGUGCACCAGUUGUUCCGCCAGGAGCAUGGCUGGGUAGCUAAGUCGGGAAGGGAUAAACGCUGAAAGCAUCUAAGCGUGAAGCCUCCCUCAAGAUGAGAUUUCCCAUAGCAUAAGCUAGUAAGACCCCUUGAAGAACACAAGGUUGAUAGGUCAGAGGUGUAAGUGCGGUAACGUAUUUAGCUGACUGAUACUAAUAGGUCGAGGGCUUGACC
rnacentral:rRNA from 1 species